UACAGAGACUGCAAGCGUUAUUCGGAUUCACUGGGCGUAAAGGGUGCGCAGGCGGCCGAAUGUGUCAGGUGUGAAAGCCUGGGGCUCAACCCCAGAAUUGCGCCUGAAACUGUUCGGCUAGAGUGCCGGAGAGGAUAGCGGAAUUCACGGUGUAGCAGUGAAAUGCGUAGAUAUCGUGAAGAACACCAGCGGCGAAGGCGGCUAUCUGGAAGGCAACUGACGCUCAGGCACGAAAGCGUGGGGAGCAAAAGGG
rnacentral:rRNA from 1 species